rnacentral:rRNA from 1 species
UAAUACCGUAUAAGCCCUUCGGGGGAAAGAUUUAUCGGGAAAGGAUUGGCCCGCGUUAGAUUAGAUAGUUGGUGGGGUAAUGGCCUACCAAGUCUACGAUCUAUAGCUGGUUUUAGAGGAUGAUCAGCAACACUGGGACUGAGACACGGCCCAGACUCCUACGGGAGGCAGCAGUGGGGAAUCUUAGACAAUGGGCGCAAGCCUGAUCUAGCCAUGCCGCGUGUGUGAUGAAGGUCUUAGGAUCGUAAAGCACUUUCGCCAGGGAUGAUAAUGACAGUACCUGGUAAAGAAACCCCGGCUAACUCCGUGCCAGCAGCCGCGGUAAUACGGAGGGGGUUAGCGUUGUUCGGAAUUACUGGGCGUAAAGCGUACGUAGGCGGAUCAGAAAGUAGGGGGUGAAAUCCCAGGGCUCAACCCUGGAACUGCCUCCUAAACUCCUGGUCUUGAGUUCGAGAGAGGUGAGUGGAAUUCCAAGUGUAGAGGUGAAAUUCGUAGAUAUUUGGAGGAACACCAGUGGCGAAGGCGGCUCACUGGCUCGAUACUGACGCUGAGGUACGAAAGUGUGGGGAGCAAACAGGAUUAGAUACCCUGGUAGUCCACACCGUAAACGAUGAAUGCCAGUCGUCGGGCAGUAUACUGUU